AUUGAACGCUGGCGGCAGGCCUAACACAUGCAAGUCGAGCGGAGCGGCGGACGGGGGAGUAAUACCUAGGAAUCAGCCUGGUGGUGGGGGAUAACGUUCGGAGACGGACGCUAAUACAGCAUACUUGCAGAUGAGUCUAGGUCGGAUUAGAUAGUUGGUGAGGUAAUGGCUCACCAAGGUGACGAUCCGUAACUGGUAUGAGAGGAGGAUCAGUCACACUGGAACGGAGACACGGUGCAGACUCCAACGGGAGGCAGCAGUGGGGAAUAUUGGACAAUGGGCGAAAGCCUGAUGCAGCGGCGCCGCGUGGGUAAUGAAGGCCUUCGGGUUGUGAACUCCUUUCGACAGGGACGCGGUACCUGUAUAAGAAGCACCGGCUAACUACGUGCCAGCAGCCGCGGUAAUAC
rnacentral:rRNA from 1 species